AUUGAACGCUGGCGGCAUGCCUUACACAUGCAAGUCGAACGGCAGCACGGGAGCAAUCCUGGUGGCGAGUGGCGAACGGGUGAGUAAUAUAUCGGAACGUGCCCAGUAGUGGGGGAUAACUGCUCGAAAGAGCAGCUAAUACCGCAUACGACCUGAGGGUGAAAGGGGGGGAUCGCAAGACCUCUCGCUAUUGGAGCGGCCGAUAUCAGAUUAGCUAGUUGGUGGGGUAAAGGCCUACCAAGGCAACGAUCUGUAGUUGGUCUGAGAGGACGACCAGCCACACUGGGACUGAGACACGGCCCAGACUCCUACGGGAGUCAGCAGUGGGGAAUUUUGGACAAUGGGCGAAAGCCUGAUCCAGCCAUGCCGCGUGUCUGAAGCAGGCCUUCGGGUUGUAAAGGACUUUUGUCGGGGAGGAAAUCCCCAGCGUUAAUACCGCUGGGGGAUGACAGUACCUGAAGAAUAAGCACCGGCUAACUACGUGCCAGCCGCCGCAGUAAAAC
rnacentral:rRNA from 1 species